CCUACGGGAGGCAGCAGUGGGGAAUAUUGGACAAUGGGCGAAAGCCUGAUCCAGCCAUGCCGCGUGUGUGAAGAAGGCCUUCGGGUUGUAAAGCACUUUCAGUGGGGAAGAAAGCCUUGGGGCUAAUACCCUCGAGGAAGGACAUCACCCACAGAAGAAGCACCGGCUAACUCCGUGCCAGCAGCCGCGGUAAUACGGAGGGUGCGAGCGUUAAUCGGAAUUACUGGGCGUAAAGCGCGCGUAGGCGGUCUGAUAAGCCGGUUGUGAAAGCCCCGGGCUCAACCUGGGAACGGCAUCCGGACCUGUCAGGCUAGAGUGCAGGAGAGGAAGGUAGAAUUCCCGGUGUAGCGGUGAAAUGCGUAGAGAUCGGGAGGAAUACCAGUGGCGAAGGCGGCCUUCUGGACUGACACUGACGCUGAGGUGCGAAAGCGUGGGUAGCAAACAGGAUUAGAUACCCUAGUAGUC
rnacentral:rRNA from 1 species